rfam:Clostridium sp. CAG:352 genomic scaffold, scf141
UCUAUCGUGAGAUAAAAUCUGAAGAAAGCUAUAGGCAAACCUUUAGUCUAAUUUAUAUUGCACAGGUCUGUAAAAAAUGGACAAUAGAAAAGUCCUUGAA